rnacentral:rRNA from 1 species
GACGAACGCUGGCGGCGUGCCUAAUACAUGCAAGUCGAGCGGGUUUAUCCUUCGGGGUAAGCUAGCGGCGGACGGGUGAGUAACACGUAGGCAACCUGCCUUCAAGAUCGGGAUAACUAUCGGAAACGAUAGCUAAGACCGGAUAGCUGGUUUUCUCGCAUGAGAGAAUCAUGAAACACGGAGCAAUCUGUGGCUGGACGAUGGGCCUGCGGGGCAUUAGCGAGUUGGUGAGGUAACGGCUCACCAAGGCGACGAUGCGUAGCCGACCUGAGAGGGUGAACGGCCACACUGGGACUGAGACACGGCCCAGACUCCUACGGGAGGCAGCAGUAGGGAAUCUUCCGCAAUGGACGCAAGUCUGACGGAGCAACGCCGCGUGAGUGAUGAAGGUUUUCGGAUCGUAAAGCUCUGUUGCCCUAGACGAACAGCAUCAGGAGUAACUGCCUGUUGUGUGACGGUAUAGGAGAAGAAAGCCCCGGCUAACUACGUGCCAGCCGCCGCCGUAACAC